rnacentral:rRNA from 1 species
GACGAACGCUGGCGGCGUGCCUAAUACAUGCAAGUCGAACGCAGUGGGGACGGGUGCGUAACACGUGGGUAACCUCCCAUCAGAGGGGAUAACACUUGGAAACAGGUGCUAAGCCGAUACUGAUGGAUGGACCCGCGGUGCAUUAGCUAGUUGGUGAGGUAACGGCUCACCAAGACCACGAAGCAGAGCGGACCUGAGAGUGUGAUCGGCCACACGGUGACGGAGACACGGCCCAGCCUACUACGGGAGGCAGCAGUAGGGAAUCUUCGGCAAUGGACGAAAGUCGGACCGAGAAACGCCGCGUGAGGGAAGAAGGUUUUCGGAUCGUAAAACUCGUUUGUUAGAGAAGCGGUAUCUAACCAGAAAGCCACGGCUAACUACGUGCCAGCAGCCGCGGUAAUUC